rnacentral:lncRNA from 10 species
CAGACAUUCCCCUCACCUGGCAGCGGGGUGCACCCUGCGUGCACAGCAUCCUCCUCCUACGCUUAGGUCCAUCUGGAUGUAGAGUCCCUCCUGGGAAAAGGGGAACUGCCAGAAAGAGACACCUGCCCCUCACUCGUCACCAAAUGCAGGUUCCUGGGGAAAAUGAUGCUAGUAAGACCUGCCUCUGGGUUUCCUAAGCAGCAGAACAGCUCCCUCGCUGCAAUCCAUUGAAAGUCAGUCCUGGACACCAGGGUUUGUCCACCCAUAUGGAGGCUCCAAGCAUCUAUGCAUCCAUCCCUCUCGAUCCCUAGGACUUCGGACCCGGAGCCACACUGUGGGGCGGCAGUGAUCAGGAAAGGUAUUCAGUUGACCAGAGAUGAUAAAGAGGGUUUCCAGGCCAAUGAAUUGUCUCAAUUCACUGGUGAGCACAGGAAGGCCGUGAGCAGCCACCAGCCUGGAGAGCCUAUCCACAUCUCCACAGUGAUCUGCUCCAAAUGCUCAGGACUGAAUCCAGACCCUCCCUCAUUUUUGACACCCACUUCCAAGUUAGGGUCAACAGGGGAAGCCAAAUACACUGACCCUCAUGGAUCAUGUGGAACGCACCUCUUCUUGUCAGUCUGCUUCCAGCCAUUCCCAGAUCAGCCCGCUCCCAGCAGGAUGCACCCUCCUCUUUUCCUACCAUAAAGCUUUCCUACUCCUCUGCCUGCCUUUGAGUCUCUGCCAAGCACAAGCUGUUGUGGUGGCUGCCUCUUACAAUAGAGAGCGAGCUCUCGAUUAAUAAAUGUUGUUCUCAUGUGGGUGAUCUUUAUCUCCACAAAGGUUAUGACACAGGAGCCUUUUGGUGCCUCUGUGUCAGCCAGAAACCUCUGUGACUGGCAAUGCAGGGAUCUUGCUCAGCUCUGGGUUCACCACCUGGCUUCCUCCACCCACUUGUCCUGGCAGGCUGUAUUCGGCUUGUGCUCCUGGCCUGGAUCCCAUGCCCACCAGCUCUUCACUCAGCCUGCAACUGGUCUGCAGGCUGCCUUGAACGGCUUCUGCCUUGGGUGCCAAUGUCUGGAUAAGGGGGAUGCAGCAGUGCCUGAAAGCUUGAAGAUGCCAGCAACCACGGAGCCCCAAGGGGUGUUACAG